UACAGAGGUGGCAAGCGUUGUUCGGAAUUACUGGGCGUAAAGGGCGCGUAGGUGGCCAUCUAAGUCAGACGUGAAAUCCCCCGGCUUAACCUGGGAACUGCGUCUGAUACUGGACGGCUUGAGUAUGGGAGAGGAACGUAGAAUUCCAGGUGUAGCGGUGAAAUGCGUAGAUAUCCGGAGGAACACCGGUGGCGAAGGCGGCUUCCUGGACCGAUACUGACGCUGAGGCGCGAAAGCUAGGGGAGCAAACGGG
rnacentral:rRNA from 1 species